GGCAGCAUUUAGCAGCUAGCCACUGUUUAUAAGAAGGGAUCCCAGCAGCUCGAAGUCAGUCAUUGGGAUUACUCAUCACUUGCCUUGUGAGCUGCUCCAGGGAAUUUCUUGAAGAACUGUGUCAAAAUUAGCUUUAGAAGACCAGCAAUUUGAGAGCUUUGAUGGACACGUAUCAGGCACUCCCAGACCAGUGUUGGUCAAAUUGGUGCGCUUGGAAGAAAGAUUCUUUUUGUUGCUAGAGUGAAGAUUUUCCUCUUUUGUGAAAGGAGAGAAGAGGAUAAACAAGGACUACAUCUUCCUCUCUGCAAGAAGAAAUCUGAUUCAUUGGGAACAUAAUCACUACGAUACCAUGAAUGCUUGCAGGAGGAUACAUUCGCUCCGUGCUCACAGACAGAGAAACAAUGCCAACACACAUGAGAACUGGCACAGUACCUCUGGGUUCAAGCAACAGCGUGGAGAUGAACUUGCUACAGUCCUUACGCUUUACACAGUGAUCGUCAUGGUCCUUCUAAUGGCAAUCUGGGGAGCCUGGACAAGGAAGGAUUCAUACGUAUAGUAGCAGUAUGCUUUCUUUGUUAAAUAUUUAAAGAAAUACUUGUAUUGAUUAUCCGUACCCAGGAGGUACAAAAAAAAUGGUCCUUGCCUAUUACAGUGUACUUGAAACUGCUUAGACUACUGCUACUUGUGGAACUGAAGCUGUGAAGCGAUUUAAUAGGCAAUAUACAGAACAUGACUUCGUGAAUAAGAUAACUGUUUGUAUAUAACAUAUAAACAUGUUUGUAUUACCCUUUGCAUGUAUAUGAAACAUUUUAAGCAUAAUACAUUCUUGGGAAGAAGAA